rnacentral:rRNA from 1 species
AUUGAACGCUGGCGGCAGGCCUAACACAUGCGAGUCGAGCGGUAGAGAGGUGCUUGCAUCUCUUGAGAGCGGCGGACGGGUGAGUAAUGCCUAGGAAUCUGCCUAGUGGUGGGGGAUAACGUUCGGAAACGGACGCUAAUACCGCAUACGUCCUACGGGAGAAAGCGGGGGAUCUUCGGACCUCGCGCCAUUAGAUGAGCCUAGGUCGGAUUAGCUAGUUGGUGAGGUAAUGGCUCACCAAGGCGACGAUCCGUAACUGGUCUGAGAGGACGACCAGCCACACUGGGACUGAGACACGGCCCAGACUCCUACGGGAGGCAGCAGUGGGGAAUUUUGGGACAAUGGGCGCAAGCCUGAUCCAGCAAUGCCGCGUGCAGGAUGAAGGCCU